rnacentral:rRNA from 1 species
AGUGAACGCUGGCGGCGUGCUUAACACAUGCAAGUCGAACGAGAACGGGUUAUAGCUUGCUAUAAUUGUCAGCUAAGUGGCGCACGGGUGAGUAAUGUAUAGGUAAUAUGCCUCUUACUAAGGGAUAACAAAUGGAAACGUUUGCUAAUACCUUAUACUCCUUAUUAACAUAAGUUAAUAAGGGAAAGAUUUAUUGGUAAGAGACUAGCCUGUAUUGUAUCAGUUAGUUGGUGGGGUAAUGGCUUACCAAGACUAUGACACAUAACUGGUUUGAGAGGAUGAUCAGUCACACUGGAACUGAGACACGGUCCAGACUCCUACGGGAGGCAGCAGUGGGGAAUAUUGCACAAUGGACGAAAGUCUGUUGCAGCAACGCCGCGUGGAGGAUGACACAUUUCGGUGCGUAAACUCCUUUUAUAUGAGAAGAUAAUGACGGUAUUAUAUGAAUAAGCACCGGCUAACUCCGUGCCAGCAGCCGCCGUAA